rnacentral:rRNA from 1 species
UGAGUACGAGAUGCUACGGCAUCGAAGCAGUCUAUGUCAUACUUCCAAGAAAAGCUUGCACUGUCAUAGACAAAGAAUGCCUGUACCAUAACCGACACAGGUGGGUAGGUAGAGUAUACUAAGGGGCGCGAGAUAACUCUCUCUAAGGAACUCGGCAAAAUGACUCCGUAACUUCGGGAGAAGGAGUGCCUUAUUUAUAAGGUUGCAAUAACAAGAUCCAAGCAACUGUUUACCAAAAACACAGGUCUCCGCGAAGUCGUAAGACGAUGUAUGGGGGCUGACGCCUGCCCAGUGCCAGAAGGUUAAAGAAGUUGGUUAGCAUUCGCGAAGCUGAUAACUGAAGCCCUGGUGAACGGCGGCCGUAACGAUAACGGUCCUAAGGUAGCGAAAUUCCUUGUCGGGUAAGUUCCGACCCGCACGAAAGGCGUAAUGAUUUGGAUACUGUCUCGGAGAGGGGCUCGGUGAAAUAGACUUGUCUGUGAAGAUGCGGACUACCUGCACCUGGACAGAAAGACCCUAUGAAGCUUUACUGUAACUUGAAAUUGAAAUUGGACUUUAUUUGCGCAGUAUAGGUGGGAGGCGUUGAGAAUAACCUAGCGGGGUUAUUGGAGCCAUCAGUGAGAUACCACUCUUGUAAUGUUAGAUUUCUAACUUUGUAUCAUUAUCUGGUCAAAGAACAGUUUCAGGCGGGCAGUUUGACUGGUCGGUCGCCUCCCAAACGGUAACGGAGGCGCACAAAGGUUUCCUCUGAACGGGUAGAAAUCGUAUCUAGAGUGUAAAGGCAUAAGGAAGCUUGACUGUGAGACCUACAAGUCGAGCAGGGACGAAAGUCGGUCUUAGUGAUCUGACGGUGCUGAGUGGAAAGGCCGUCACUCAACGGAUAAAAGUUACUCUAAGGAUAACAGGCUGAUCUCCCCCAAGAGUUCACAUCGACGGGGAGGUUUGGCACCUCGAUGUCGGCUCAUCGCAUCCUGGGGCGGUAGUACGUCCCAAGGGUUGGGCUGUUCGCCCAUGAAAGCGGUACGCGAGCUGGGUUCAGAACGUCGUGAGACAGUUCGGUCCAUAUCCGGUGUAGGCGUUAGAAUAUUGAGAGGAGCCUUCUCUAGUACGAGAGGACCGAGAAGGACAUACCUCUGGUGUACCAGUUAUCGUGCCAACGGUAAACGCUGGGUAGCUAUGUGUGAGUGGAUAACCGCUGAAAGCAUCUAAGUGGGAAGCCCACCUCAAGAUAAGUAUUCCCACC